UUGUAUUCUUCACUCUCGCGCUGUGUUGUGAUCGUUCGAAACUCAUUGCCAGAACGAAUGCAAAUUUCAUUUUGGAAGGAUCGGUGUCGGAAGAUGCAGUGAAAAUUAUGAAAUGAUAAUAGAAAAGUGAUUAAGUAAAUCGUGAAAGAUGUCAACGCAGGCGUAAAUGCAGUUUGUUUUGUUACAUGAUCUAUGGCUAUUUCAUUACCAAAGCUGAUAACAGAUCAAAGCAGAUGGAUAGGGCAUACAGAGUCGCCGUUUAACUUUAAAUAUCUUCGUGAUCGGCAAACGCAUCAAACAGCAUGUUUUUUUUCAACAGCACGCACCAUCGGUGGAGCAAGCAGCUAACGUUUUGUUCGCCCAGCACGCACCAUCAAGUAUUGAAAUGUUUUCAAAUAGCUUUGUGAAUAAAAAACUGCACACUUACUG